rnacentral:rRNA from 1 species
GCGGACGGGGUGAGUAACACGCGAGAAUCUGCCUUUAGGAGGGGGAUAACAACUGGAAACGGUUGCUAAUACCCCAUAUGCUUUCGAGUGAAAUGGAUUUAUCCGCCUAGAGAGGAGCUCGCGGCUGAUUAGCUUGUUGGUAGGGUAAUGGCCUACCAAGGCGACGAUCAGUAUCUGGUUUGAGAGGACGAUCAGACACACUGGAACUGAGACACGGUCCAGACUCCUACGGGAGGCAGCAGUGGGGAAUUUUCCGCAAUGGGCGAAAGCCUGACGGAGCAAUACCGCGUGAGGGAAGACGGCCUAUGGGUUGUAAACCUCUUUUCUCAGGGAGGAACUCAAUGACGUGUACCUGAGGAAUAAGCAUCGGCUAACUCCGUGCCAGCAGCCGCGGUAAGACGGAGGAUGCAAGUGUUAUCCGGAAUCACUGGGCGUAAAGCGUCUGUA